GCCCAUUACUCAUCACCAAGACAAAUUCCCAUCUCUCUCUCUCUCUCUCACCCCGCCCCAUCUCUUUCUCCUCCAUUUUCAAGAGAAAUUUUGUGAGGACUUGGCAAAUCGGUCAGAGGGAUUGAGUUUUCAGCUUAAUCCAUGAAGUUUACAGGCCUAGACCCCUCUUGGGGUCGUGUAUGGCCUCAGAUGGUUAUGGCAUUGGCCUUUGUAGUUGUUGUAAGCAAUGUGGGUUCAGUCUCUGGUGAUGCUUAUCCUUAUGCUUCACCACCACCACCACCUUAUGAGUACACAUCACCUCCACCACCUGAGCAUUCUCCACCACCACCUUAUGAGUACAAGUCACCUCCUCCACCUGAGCAUUCUCCACCACCACCAUAUGAGUACAAGUCUCCCCCACCUCCAGAGAAGUCUCCUCCACCACCAUAUGAGUACAAGUCUCCCCCACCACCCAUGAAAGAACCAGCACCAGCACCAUAUGAAUACAAGUCACCCCCACCACCAGAACACUCUCCACCACCUCCAUAUGAGUACAAGUCACCUCCUCCACCAGUACACUCCCCACCACCACCAUAUGAGUACAAGUCUCCCCCACCUCCUGAGAAGUCUCCACCUCCUCCAUAUGAGUACAAGUCUCCCCCACCACCUGAGAAGUCUCCUCCACCACCAUAUGAGUACAAGUCUCCACCACCACCCGUGAAAGAACCAGCACCAGCACCAUAUGAAUACAAGUCACCCCCACCACCAGAACACUCUCCACCACCACCAUAUGAGUACAAGUCCCCACCACCACCUGUACACUCUCCUCCACCACCAUACGAGUACAAGUCCCCACCACCACCAACAAAACCAUACUACUAUAAGUCCCCACCACCACCAACAAAACCAUACAAGUACUCAUCCCCACCUCCACCACCAUAUGAGUACAAGUCCCCACCACCACCUGUACACUCUCCUCCACCACCAUACUACUAUAAGUCCCCACCACCACCAGAGAAAUCUCCUCCUCCACCUUACGAGUACAAGUCACCACCACCACCAACAAAACCAUACAAGUACCAUAUGAGUACAAGUCCCCACCACCACCAACAAAACCAUACAAGUACUCAUCCCCACCUCCACCACCAUAUGAGUACAAGUCCCCACCACCACCUGUACACUCUCCUCCACCACCAUACUACUAUAAGUCCCCACCACCACCAGAGAAAUCUCCUCCUCCGCCUUACGAGUACAAGUCACCACCACCACCAACUAAACCAUACAAGUACUCAUCCCCACCACCACCACCAUAUGAGUACAAGUCCCCACCACCACCAACAAAACCAUACAAGUACUCAUCCCCACCUCCACCACCAUAUGAGUACAAGUCCCCACCACCACCUGUUUACUCUCCACCACCUUACUACUAUAAGUCUCCACCACCACCACCACCACACUACUACUACAAAUCUCCACCACCACCACCCAAGGUUCUUCCUCCAUACCAUUACACGUCUCCACCUCCACCAAUCCACCACCACCCAUUGAUUGUCAGGGUUGUUGGAAAGGUCUAUUGCUACAGAUGCUAUGACUGGGGAUAUCCCAUCAAGUCACAUGACAAGAAGCAUCUUGAAGGUGCCGUAGUGGAAGUGACAUGCAAAACUGGCAAGGAGGAGAUCACAGCAUAUGGUACCACCAAGAACAAUGGCAAGUUUGCCCUCACAGUCAAGGACUUUGACUACAAGAAGUAUGGUGCCGAAGCAUGCAAGGCUAAGCUCCACGCUGCACCCAAAGACUCACCAUGCAACAUCCCCACUAACUUACACUGGGGCAAAACUGGUGCCAAGCUCAAGGUCAAAUCUAAGAACUCAUAUGAAGUUGUGCUCUCAGCCAGGCCAUUUGCUUAUGCUCCCAAGACUCCUUACAAGGAGUGUGAGAAGCCAGUCACUAAGCCUCCUCCAUACGUGUACAAGUCUCCACCACCACCAGUCCACUCUCCUCCACCAUACUACUACAAGUCCCCACCACCACCACCAUAUGUGUACAAGUCUCCACCACCACCAGUCCACUCUCCACCACCAUACUACUAUAAAUCCCCACCACCACCAACAUACUUGUACAAGUCCCCACCACCACCAACAUAUGUGUACAAGUCCCCACCACCACCAGUCCACUCUCUACCACCAUACUACUAUAAAUCCCCACCACCACCAACAUACUUGUACAAGUCCCCACCACCACCACCAUAUGUGUACAAGUCCCCACCACCACCAGUCUACUCUCCACCACCAUACUACUAUAAAUCCCCACCACCACCAACAUACUUGUACAAGUCCCCACCUCCACCUGUUUACUUAUACAAGUCCCCACCACCACCAGUGAAAGCUCUUCCUCCACCAUAUGAGUACAAGUCCCCACCACCACCAGAGAAGUCUCCUCCUCCACCAUACUACUACAAAUCCCCACCACCACCACCAUAUGAGUACAAGUCCCCACCACCACCUGUACACUCUCCUCCACCACCAUACUACUAUAAGUCUCCUCCUCCACCAUAUGAAUACAAGUCCCCACCACCACCAGAGAAAUCUCCUCCUCCACCAUACUACUACAAAUCCCCACCACCACCAACUGAACCAUACAAGUACUCAUCCCCACCUCCACCACCAUAUGAGUACAAGUCCCCACCACCACCUGUACACUCUUCUCCACCACCAUACGAGUACAAGUCCCCACCACCUCCGGAAUACUCACCACCACCAUACUACUAUAAGUCCCCACCACCACCAGAGAAAUCUCCUCCUCCACCUUACGAGUACAAGUCCCCACCACCACCAACAGAACCAUACAAAUACUCAUCCCCACCACCACCACCAUAUGAGUACAAGUCCCCACCACCACCUGUACACUCUCCACCACCACCAUACGAGUACAAGUCACCACCACCACCAGAGAAAUCUCCUCCUCCACCAUACUACUACAAAUCCCCACCACCACCAACAGAACCAUACAAGUACUCUUCCCCACCUCCACCACCAUAUGAGUACAAGUCCCCACCACCACCUGUACACUCUCCUCCACCACCAUACGAGUACAAAUCCCCACCACCUCCGGAACACUCACCUCCACCGCCAUAUGAGUACAAAUCACCUCCCCCACCGGCCUACAUUUAUGCAUCUCCCCCACCACCCACUCAAUAAUAAGCUUGGAACGUUCAGCCACGUGCCAAUACCAAUUAUGUUUUAGUUUUAAAAAUGCAAUAAAGGGCUCAGUUAGUGUAAGAUAUCGAGAUCAAGCAUCGAAUCCAGAUUUGUUAAAUAAGGGUCUGACUGCACCAAUUGAAUGCCACCCUCUAUGCAGUAGUUCAGAUCUUCUCGUACCUACUACUUCUCUAGUGGCCAUGUUACACAUUAUGCUCUUAUUAUAUUCUGGCUUGGGAGGCUUCCAAGAGAGAAAAAGCUGGACUAGGAAGUGGGGAUUCGAAACGUAACUAAGAGUUGGAUGUGCGAGCCUGUCAACUUUUUAAUAUUUUUUUUAAAUAUCAGAGGGCGUUCAUAUCUGGUAGUAAAUUAUAUAAACUGUAUAGGGUAUGGCCUUGUUUGAUUGGAGGUUCUAUUCUAUUUAUUAUUAUGUCAAUUUGUUUCUUUGAACCUCUUGUGCUUUGUGCAUUGAGAUUAUUAUCAAUAAAAGAAGACAGUUCUUUCAUAA